rnacentral:tRNA from 1 species
GGGGGUGGAAGAGUCCCGGUGGGCUCCGCAGUCUUCAAAAUUGUUGAGGGGCGUUGAACAGAUGUCCCAGGUGGGUUCGACUCCCAUCCACUCCCGC